CGAACGGGUGAGUAAUGCGUGACCAACCUGCCCCAUGCUCCAGAAUAGCUCUUGGAAACGGGUGGUAAUGCUGGAUGCUCCAACUUGACGCAUGUCUUGUUGGGAAAGUGUUUAGUGGCAUGGGAUGGGGUCGCGUCCUAUCAGCUUGUAGGCGGGGUAAUGGCCCACCUAGGCUUCGACGGGUAGCCGGCCUGAGAGGGCGGACGGCCACAUUGGGACUGGGAUACGGCCCAGACUCCUACGGGAGGCAGCAGGC
rnacentral:rRNA from 1 species